UACAGAGGGGGGCAAGCGUUAUUCGGAAUUACUGGGCGUAAAGGGCGCGUAGGCGGCCAUUCAAGUCGGAGGUGAAAGCCCAGGGCUCAACCCUGGAAUUGCCCUCGAUACUGUUUGGCUAGAGACCGGAAGAGGUAGGUGGAACUGCGAGUGUAGAGGUGAAAUUCGUAGAUAUUCGCAAGAACACCAGUGGCGAAGGCGGCUUACUGGUCCGGUUCUGACGCUGAGGCGCGAAAGCGUGGGGAGCAAACAGG
rnacentral:rRNA from 1 species